AGUGGAAUAACUGGGUCCAAUGGUGUUUCCAUUCCAAGUUUUCUGAGGAAUCUCCAUAUUGUUUUCCAGAGUGGUUGCACCAAUUUGCAGUUCCACCAGCAGU
rnacentral:pre_miRNA from 1 species